AUUGGACGCUGGCGGCAGGCCUAACACAUGCAAGUCGAGCGGAUGAAGGGAGCUUGCUCCUGGAUUCAGCGGCGGACGGGUGAGUAAUGCCUAGGAAUCUGCCUGGUAGUGGGGGAUAACGUCCGGAAACGGGCGCUAAUACCGCAUACGUCCUGAGGGAGAAAGUGGGGGAUCUUCGGACCUCACGCUAUCAGAUGAGCCUAGGGCGGAUUAGCUAGUUGGUGGGGUAAAGGCCUACCAAGGCGACGAUCCGUAACUGGUCUGAGAGGAUGAUCAGUCACACUGGAACUGAGACACGGUCCAGACUCCUACGGGAGGCAGCAGUGGGGAAUAUUGGACAAUGGGCGAAAGCCUGAUCCAGCCAUGCCGCGUGUGUGAAGAAGGUCUUCGGAUUGUAAAGCACUUUAAGUUGGGAGGAAGGGCAGUAAGUUAAUACCUUGCUGUUUUGACGUUACCAACAGAAUAAGCACCGGCUAACUUCGUG
rnacentral:rRNA from 1 species